AAGACAACGCCUCACACACCUGCUUUAGAACGCACUCAGGAGAGUUCUAACAGUUCAGACAUUGCGUGAAUCAGAGCCGUGAUUCCCAUCCACUUCCAUUAUAAGACUGACAGACUACAACGGUUUGUGUUAAAAAUCUUGGUUUGUGUUCUACUGAAGAAACAAAGUCACUCACAUCUUGGAUGCCCUGGGGGAGUCGCAGGAGAGGAGCCGGGAGGAGAGAGGUGGGCGAGUUUGAGCCCCGGCCGGCGAUUCUUCAGACAGCAGGAGAGAGAUUUCUCUUUUGCGUGAGAAGGAGAGAGUUUGGACAAACAGCGGGACCGACGGCCCCAAUCACAGUUUAUCCUGCUUCACAUUAAGCUGACUUGUCAACAUGUGGUUGGGAGAAGAAUGGCAUUGACUGAGAGCAAAGCCCACCGCUGGCUUCCGGAAUAAUCCACUGACCCUCAGCGAGCAGAUCAUGAGCUGCUGAAAGCUCAGCCUCGAGUAUUGUCUGCAGGAAAUAGAUUUAUGGGGUGGGUUUGUUGUCACUUGUGUCUUAUGAGACAAAGCAGAAGGGUUGAAAACCAAGACAAGAAAGCAACGGCAAAAUUAUAUAUUGUGUUAUGUUUCAAUUCUUGCAAUUUGAAGUCACACUCAGACGUUCUUUGCAUUAUUGUGGCAGAUGAAAUACCAGUCGUCUCAGACUGGAAUACUCUAUUUAAUCACAGCCCUAUCUAUCUAUCUAUCUAUCUAUCUAUCUAUCUAUCUAUCUAUCUAUCUAUCUAUCUAUCUAUCUGUCUGUCUGUCUGUCUGUCUGUCUGUCUGUCUGUCUGUCUGUCUGUCUGUCUGUCUGUCUGUCUGUCUGUCUGUCUGUCUGUCUGUCUGUCUGUCUGUCUGUCUGUCUGUCUGUCUGUCUGUCUGUCUGUCUGUCAGCCAUCCAUCCAUCCAAUCCAUCCAUCCGUCCGUCUGUCCGUCAGUCUGUCUGUCUGUCUGUCUGUUUUAUCAGUCUGUCAUCCAUCCAAUCCAUCCCAUCCAUCCAUCCAUCCUUCCGUCUGUCCGUCCGUCUGUCUGUCUGUCUGCCAUCCAUCCGUCCGU